rnacentral:lncRNA from 1 species
ACGCAAUAGCUCCUGGGAUGGGAGAGGUGAGGCCAGGGUUCAUCCACACUAUCGGGUUGGCAAGCUCCUGGCUUUUCUGUGCCUCCCGUGUGGCACUGAGCACCCCAUCGUGCCUGAGAGCUACUGCCACGGACAUAAAUGACAUAAAAAAUAAACAAGACCCUCACAUCUUCGUUUUUUAAUCAUUAUUUUCCUGUGGCUUUUAGCCCACACCAUCGUUCCAGCUGCCUCCCUGUCGCAGAGAGCCUGCAAACAAGUGAAGUAACUCCUCCUCCGUGUUGUCCCAUCCCAGCACGGAGCACCUUGUUGUGGCGAGGGUCAGCCGGGCGCCAAGGACUUCUCCUUUGCUAGAGCAGCACUUGGUCUUGCGGCUUGAAAACCAAAGGGAGAUGAGCAAUGUGCAAGCCUGGCAUAAUAAAAUCGGUCAACUCAAUACAAUGAGUUUUGAGCCUCUCUUCCCUUAAAUUUCUAAAACGUUAGGAACAAUUAGGGCAGCUUUGGAGAAGGGAUUAAAAAAAAAGGGAACCUGAGCUGUGCUGUUUCUAGCUGUGCGUGUACAUGCACAUAGCUGCAGUUUACAAUUUAGUUGUAGUGUUAAUAGUUUACCUCAUUUUGUGACAGCGAGGUAGGAAAUAGGGAUGAAGGGGAUGUUAUGAAGACGUCAGCGAGUUCCUCAGAUCCUCAGGAUCCAGGACUGGACGCUCACAAGCGCUCUGCUGUCCCCAGAAGCCCUUUGCGAGGCCUGUCGCGGAUCUGGCAGCUGCCGGCCUGUGACACCAUCACACCUCUCCUGCGCACACGCGGGAGGAUAGCUGCUCGCUUGGAUGCAAAAAGAGAGAGGUUUCAUUAAAUCUGCUACCUGGGCAGCAAGCCUGCUGCCUGCCGAAACCUGACAUAUGCGACCGGCCCCGCCACACGAGAGGCAGAGAUGGAAGAAAUCCAGGCCUGCGGGUGACCCAAACAAGAGCUCCUGUGCCCUUGGGCAGGUUUCACCAGAAGUGCUGUGUCUGAGCCGGGGCAGGACCUGCCUGUCCCCACACCUGGCGUUCCUGGGCUGCUACACCACUGCUUGGCCGGCCUUUUUAGGGUCAGCUCUCCAGAGCAGGCUGAAAGCUGUGGGGCUAAUCGCUCGCUUGUAAGUGCACAUCCUGCAGGAGACAACGCAUUUUGGACUGAAUGAGCUCUACGAGACACUUCCACAAUAACCUGGUGAGGGGAAGCCUUUCUUCAGCCUAAACCAAGCUCAGCUUUAGAUUUAACACAUUUCUUUUUCUACGAAGCAAGCUUCGCUUCAGAAAAGGUCACGCGCCGCAGAGCCUGGAACCGCGCAUCCCAGCAUGGAGCAAGCGGGGCUCAGAGCCUGCAGACCUGCACCGCCGCUUCCAUCUUCAGUCGGCACUUAAAUCCUUCCAGUCUGCUGCCUGUGCAAUAAGCCGGAGGUGAGAUGAGGCUCGCAGGAGCCCCAGACUCCUUCCAAAUAACUCAUCCUCUUACUUCAAAGGCUGGCCGGGCUGCCAGCAGUGUGCAGGGGAAGGCUCUGCAGAUCGUUCCCUGAAGCAGCAGCAAUAGCUUCAGCCACCAGUGCUGCCUUUUGGCAGCAAAAAUUCAUAUUGUCUCUAAAGACUGUUUAUGGCUGCUAGCAAGUCAGUUGCAAGCAAGCAAAUUAGAUUAUUAAGGGAUUUGCAUGAAAGGCCAUGCCUUGAAACCAGGCGGAAUUGCACAGCUGUCCGCUCACCUCGUUCUCAGACCUGUUGUGUGAUGUUGUAAAGGAUGCCCACGUCCUUCAGGUGGCAUCCCUGGAAGCUCUGCGGGGCUCGCACCCCACUGCAGGUACCGGCCUCGCUGGGGGAAGAUGCUGACUGUUAGCAGCAGCCUCCAAAACCAACGCAUCGCCUCCCAGCUGCAGCUGGGAGCCUGGGA